ACGGUCCCUUCUUUUCCCUUUUCCUCUUGUCUAGGGUUACCACCGCCGCCGUCGGCGCCACCUCGUGAACUACCGCAGACAGGCGCUCCUGCCACUGCCCCUGCUGCCUCGUCUCCACCGGCCAUCGCCGGCUUCGCCACCUGUCGCCGUCGAGGCCAGUCAAGUUGGUGGUCGCCGUGGCGAACGGGGUAGAAGCCGCCACCGCCGCUGCAGCCGCCGCCACGACAACCACCGCCUCCGACGCCUGUUCUCGUGUGUGCGCUCGACCUCGGCUUCCUCUUCCACCUCCCCGCACGAGCCUCUCGUCCUCUGUUCGUCGUUCGGCCUCACUCCACCCGCCGCUGCACUGCUUCUGUAGACCACCAUGAAGGUGGUUGUUGGUUGAGUGUGAGAGCUGUAGUUCUUCAUCGAUAGCUGAUCUUGUUCAUCAAUGAAUUAUGUGUCUGUCAUCGUCUCCAAGAAAUCGCACUAAUCGGAUCGUCGUCAGAUUUGCCUUGCUGUUUCAUCUGCUCAAAGGGUCAUCUUUCUGUUGAGGUUGUGGAAAACUUCAACGCUUCGUGUUGUAGGCCAUGCCGUGUCAUUGCAUCUGUUUAUGCUGAAAUGUCAAAGAAUUAUCCUCAAGACCUCAACUGAUGUUCCUGACGAUUGAUGUUGAUGACCUAAUGAUGAAGACCACGAGACCCGAUGAAAGACAUCAUGCUGAUUCUGAUGUGGAAAUGGAUUAUGCCAAGCCUCUAGAGGACUUUGAAGGGUGUUCUCUUUAUUUGGUUCCUUAGUCGUUUAGGUGAUUAUUUAUAUCAAUACCAUGUGUUCUGAACUUCUGAUGCAUGCCAUUUUCUGUUGUAGGAGAAGCAGUACUCAGAAUGCGAGAGUUAAGAGAGAAUCUGCUGAAACUGAGGUAACAACAGAUCAGAUUUUUGCUCAAUUUGGGUUGUGUCUAUGUGUUUCUCCAUCCCCGUACCGCCCCCACCUCACCUGCCGAAGCAGGGGUGGCGCACCUCGUCCUUGCCUUCCUCAGCGCGGAGAGAGAUGGCGACGGUGGCGGCUGGAUCUGGCUAAGUGGCCAGCAAGGAGGACGACUUUACCCCGCAGCCGAUGCCAACCAGCCACUUCCCUCGGGUGUCACCAUGGUAUUCCUCACGCGGUUGCCAACCGGCGGUGAGCAAGAGAACAUUGACAUUCAAAUCGCUCCCAUCGUGAGCCUUGAGGAGGUUGCCAUCACCACUGACGAAGAGGUCGAGGACCUCCUUGAUAUAGAAGUAUGAAUAUGGGGCUUCAAAAUUUCAGUAGUACUGUCAUUAUCUCGGAUUACAUGAUGUUGGUUGUUGUUAUUCUACAUACCCUUUUAUGGUGCCUGAGGGACACACCUAUGGUGGCUCUUUGGAUUGUGAAUGUCAAAGCCAACAAUAUCAAUAGGCUUGUACAGAUUAUUCCGAAAAAGACGGUGAUUGCUAUGGGUUGUACAUUCAAAAUGAAAUGUAUCUGUUGAAGGGGGUGAGGCUGCAAAGAAUCUUGUAGUUGCGACGGCGGCGGCUUCAGUUUGUGCUUUGAGGGGCACCUACUGCAAAUACAACCUUUUGGAUCAGGAGACACAGACGAGGUCGAGCAGUCUGUGCCUUCGUGCUCUUCUCUCGGCGUGUGGAGCCGAGGAUACGGACGAGGAGACCAAGUAAUCUGUGGCAUCUUCAUCGUCGUCCUCUUGGUGCGCGACGCUGGAGAGACGGACAAGGAGGCCAAGAGCUGGAAGUGCGGCUAUAUAUGUAGUGCUUUGAUGGGGAACUAUCUUAGUGUGCCAGUAUACACUGUAGUGGUUUGUAUUGAUAAUUCCAUGCUAAAUUUCUACUCAGUACCAAAUGAAUAAAUUGUCACUGCACUAAGCUGAGUUCACGCAAUUGUGUUAUGCCAAUUGAAAAAUGCUAA